GAAAUACUCCCUCCGUCCGGAAAUACUUGUCAUCAAAAUGGAUAAAAGGGGAUGUAUCUAGAUGUAUUUUAGUUCUAGAUACAUCCUUUUUUACCCACUUUGAUGACGAGUAUUUCCGGACGGAGGGAGUACUUU
rfam:Triticum aestivum genome assembly, contig: Triticum_aestivum_CS42_TGACv1_scaffold_405994_5BL